rnacentral:rRNA from 1 species
GGACGAACGCUGGCGGCGUGCUUAACACAUGCAAGUCGAACGCUGAAGCUUGGUGCUUGCACUGGGUGGAUGAGUGGCGAACGGGUGAGUAAUACGUGAGUAACCUGCCCUUGACUCUGGGAUAAGCCUGGGAAACUGGGUCUAAUACUGGAUACGACAUGUCACCGCAUGGUGGUGUGUGGAAAGGGUUUUACUGGUUUUGGAUGGGCUCACGGCCUAUCAGCUUGUUGGUGGGGUAAUGGCUCACCAAGGCGACGACGGGUAGCCGGCCUGAGAGGGUGACCGGCCACACUGGGACUGAGACACGGCCCAGACUCCUACGGGAGGCAGCAGUGGGGAAUAUUGCACAAUGGGCGGAAGCCUGAUGCAGCGACGCCGCGUGAGGGAUGACGGCCUUCGGGUUGUAAACCUCUUUCAGCACGGAAGAAGCGAAAGUGACGGUACGUGCAGAAGAAGCGCCGGCUAACUACGUGCCAGCAGCCGCGGUAAUACGUAGGGCGCAAGCGUUGUCCGGAAUUAUUGGGCGUAAAGAGCUCGUAGGCGGUUUGUCGCGUCUGCUGUGAAAGCCCGGGGCUUAACCCCGGGUGUGCAGUGGGUACGGGCAGACUUGAGUGCAGUAGGGGAGACUGGAAUUCCUGGUGUAGCGGUGAAAUGCGCAGAUAUCAGGAGGAACACCGAUGGCGAAGGCAGGUCUCUGGGCUGUUACUGACGCUGAGGAGCGAAAGCAUGGGGAGCGAACAGGAUUAGAUACCCUGGUAGUCCAUGCCGUAAACGUUGGGCACUAGGUGUGGGGAACAUUCCACGUUUUCCGCGCCGUAGCUAACGCAUUAAGUGCCCCGC